rnacentral:pre_miRNA from 1 species
GUGUGUGGUGCCCUACUGCAGAAGGUGACAAUUGUGUGUUACUGGAACCGAUUACCACUUCUGUCAGUAGAGUAACGCAUGA